GAUGGAUGGCCGAGCGGUCGAAGGCGGCGGUCUUGAAAACCGUUGUGGGGCAACUCACCGGGGGUUCGAAUCCCUCUCCAUC
rnacentral:tRNA from 1 species